GUGUGCAUUUUUUAGAUUGGAAGUUCUUACAUCUUUUGAAUGGAACUAAUAUUUGUAGGCAUUUUCUGAUUACUUGAAAGAACGUGAGAUGGAAUGAAGGUGCCUCUUCUAUUAGAUCUUAAAUUCAGAUGAUGUGAUGAUUAUUGAUAGUGUUAAAGAUUACUCACCAGAUUGCUGAAAUGAUAGGGUUGAGAAGUGACACUGAAUUUCUCCAAGCUUUCGUACGCACUAUCACAUAAGUUGACGUCUCUCUAUAUGGCAGCAUAUGAGCCAUCAGGUAGACAUGUUCAACUGAGGUUUCUGGGCAAUCAUUGGCAACUUCAUCUCAAGACAGCUCCCAUUUCAAUCCUUGUCAUACGACAUGGUUCACUGCACCCAGUGUAGCAUUGUCUGGGAUGACAAAGGCUUGCUGUGAGGAUGGACAGAAGGAAAAGAAAGUGAGGGAUCCACACAAGCGAAAGAUUCCUCCAAGUGCUUUUUUGUUUUCAUGUAUGCCCCAUUUGUAUUUUGAGUGUGUCCAUCUUUUCUGUCUAUUUUUUUUGGAGUCCAUUUAAUUGCAAGAAUGGAAUUUGGAUGGAAAGAAAACGAAUUCUAGAGAAUUGAAUUGCCUAUAA